UUCACAGGUUGUAAAAACCUGCAAAGCAGUAAACAAUAACGAAAAUAGUGACAGUUUCGUGGUGAAAUUAUGUCUUCGUUAUUCCCAGAUGGUCAAUAACUAAAACGACAAUAAACUUCGACAUGAGUGGCAGACUGUGACAUAUUUUACAUUAGUACUCAACAAUCAAUACUUUCUUAUUGGUUUAUUAAAACAAAUGCCAGUUCAAAAGAGCUCUAACUGUGGUUAGUUGGGCUACCAAUAAGAGGAAACAAAAACCAUCGAAAAGAUUAUUUUGCCAUUUUCCUUUACUCGUGAUGUGGGAUGACGUGUGUUCAAUUCAAAAGCUUCCGGCAAAGUUGAGGUCAUAAAGUCAAUAGUUUCAAUUUGGUAACGGUCACAUCUUUUUCAAGACGAUAAUCUUCAAGACUUGAGGUAACAAAUCAGGAAGUUUUGAUUUGAAGUAAGAAGCUUCGAUUUCGAAAUAAAAGGACAGUAAAGUCUUUUGUGUAGAACCCUUUCCCAUGAAAUGAAUUUCCUAUUUUUUGUUCCAUCUUUUCCUACGUAUUGUUUGAAACCAGACGCUAAACCCGAAGCAAAUAUACGAUUUCCGGACUUGUAGUUAUCAUAUUCAAUUAAACGUGGUUGAAUCUCAUUUAACACCCUCUUCAAUAUUGCCAACGGCUUUUUAACAUUUCUUUCUCGAAGAUUGAAGGUAUAUUUCAUAUGCUUCAUGCAAUAGAAAUAAAUCAUGCACUUGCAUACUUGUGCAUUGUAUUAUCCUGUAGUUUUAUAAUAAAAUUCUUCAUACUAGCAUUGUAGGGGUUAAAUAACUCUUACUGACUGUAUAUUGACCGGCUGUUAUUUUCAUUAUCUAUAUUUAUAAGGUAGUAUAUAGUUCAUAAGACUAAGAAAAGGGGAGUACUCAAGAAUUCAAUACAGUUCAAUCCCUUCAAGUUCCUAUAAGAAAAUGGGAAAUGCACGACGUCAAAAUGUCUGCCCUCUUGAUGACGUUACAGGUAAAAGUAAAUGCCUUCUACAACUUGCUCUAGUUAAGUAAACAAGUGCUGAACCAGAUACUCGGAAAUCAUUGGAGAGAGAGAUGAUAGCAUUGAAGAAAAAUUUAGUUCUUAGUUAGCACAUGAAAAAGAACUUUUACAUUAUUGAUCAGCAUUAAACAUAAGAAAGCCUCAGUUGUUUCUGUUGGCGUUAGUUGUUUGUACUCGAAGUACCCCAACGGUUUUGGACAUAGUCAUUUGAACAUAACAAUUUGCUUACAUAAAUAUAUAUAGCACAAAUAUAGAGCAAGCCAACACAUAUACAUACACAGACAAGAGCGAUGCCAAGCAUAUUAAAAAAAGACAAUUACGACAGAUAUAGAGAUAAAACGAAAGUGUGAGUCAUAUAAUUAAAAUGAAGUGGUUAAUCGAAGACAAAGUAAAGAAAACAAACGACCAAUAUAAUAUUUGAUAUACCUUAUUUGGUUGUGGAGGCGGUGUUUAACUGUUUAUUGUGUUUCGCAUUGUCUAGUUAAAUAUAAACAUUGAAACGUUGAA